rnacentral:rRNA from 1 species
AUACAGAGGGUGCGAGCGUUAAUCGGAUUUACUGGGCGUAAAGCGUGCGUAGGCGGCUUUUUAAGUCGGAUGUGAAAUCCCUGAGCUUAACAUAGGAAUUGCAUUCGAUACUGGGAAGCUAGAGUAUGGGAGAGGAUGGUAGAAUUCCAGGUGUAGCGGUGAAAUGCGUAGAGAUCUGGAGGAAUACCGAUGGCGAAGGCAGCCAUCUGGCCUAAUACUGACGCUGAGGUACGAAAGCAUGGGGGGCAAACAGGAUUAGAUACCCUGGUAGUCCAUGCCGUAAACGAUGUCUACUGGCCGUUGGGGCCUUUGAGGCUUUAGUGGCGUAGCUAACGCGAUAAGUAGACCGCCUGGGGAGUACGGUCGCAAGACUAAA